CCGGGGCCGCACGCGCGCCACAUUGAAGGAAUCAGCGUGUGAUUUCCCUUUCCGACAGGAUUGGGUAACCCGUUGAACCUCCUUCGUGCUGGGGAUAGAUCCUUGUAAUUAGGUCUUGAACGAGGAAUUCCCAGUAAGCACGAGUCAUCAGCUCGUGUUGAUUACGUCCCUGCCCUUUGCACACACCGCCCGUCGCUACUACCGAUUGAAUGAUUAAGUGAGGUCUUCGGACUGGCGCUCGGAUCCGGCAUUGCCUAUUCCGCUGCGACGGAAAGAUGUCCAAACUUGAUUAUUUAGAGAUAGUAAAAGUCGUAACAAGGUCGCC
rnacentral:rRNA from 1 species